rnacentral:rRNA from 1 species
GAAUUCGCCCUUAGAGUUUGAUCCUGGCUCAAGACGAACGCUGGCGGCGUGCCUAACACAUGCAAGUCGAGCGAUGACCUUAUGGAAUGAUCUUCGGAAAAGGAAAUAAGGGAUUAGCGGCGAACGGGUGAGUAACGCGUGAGAAACCUGCCUUCCACAAAGGGAUAGCCUCGGGAAACUGGGAUUAAUACCUUAUGAAACUAAAUGGUCGCAUGACCAAGUAGUUAAAGAUUUAUCGGUGGAAGAUGGUCUCGCGUCCCAUUAGCUAGUUGGUGAAGUAAUAGCUCACCAAGGCGACGAUGGGUAGCCGGCCUGAGAGGGUGAACGGCCACACUGGAACUGAGACACGGUCCAGACUCCUACGGGAGGCAGCAGUGGGGAAUAUUGCACAAUGGAGGCAACUCUGAUGCAGCGACGCCGCGUGAACGACGAAGGCCUUCGGGUCGUAAAGUUCUGUCCUUAGGGAAGAUAAUGACGGUACCUAAGGAGGAAGCCCCGGCUAACUACGUGCCAGCAGCCGCGGUAAUACGUAGGGGGCGAGCGUUGUCCGGAAUUAUUGGGCGUAAAGGGUGCGUAGGCGGCCAGAUAAGUCAGAUGUGAAAUCCCAGAGCUUAACUCUGGUAAGCAUUUGAAACUGCCUGGCUUGAGUUAAGGAGAGGAAAGUGGAAUUCCUAGUGUAGCGGUGAAAUGCGUAGAUAUUAGGAGGAAUACCAGUGGCGAAGGCGACUUUCUGGACUUAAACUGACGCUGAGGCACGAAAGCGUGGGUAGCGAACAGGAUUAGAUACCCUGGUAGUCCACGCCGUAAACGAUG